CCUACGGGUGGCUGCAGUGAGGAAUAUUGGUCAAUGGGCGGAAGCCUGAACCAGCCAAGUCGCGUGCAGGAUGACGGCCCUACGGGUUGUAAACUGCUUUUAUACGGGAAUAACGCGCCUUACGUGUCGGGCUUUGCAUGUACCGUAUGAAUAAGGACCGGCUAAUUCCGUGCCCGCAGCCGCGGUAAUACGGAAGGUCCGGGCGUUAUCCGGAUUUAUUGGGUUUAAAGGGAGCGUAGGCCGCCUGUCAAGUGUGCUGUGAAAUGUCCGGGCUCAACCCGGGCCUUGCAGCGCGAACUGGCGGGCUUGAGUCCGCGGAAAGCAUGCGGAAUGCGUCGUGUAGCGGUGAAAUGCUUAGAUAUGACGAAGAACCCCGAUUGCGAAGGCAGCUUGCUGCAGCGGAACUGACGCUGAUGCUCGAAAGCGCGGGUAUCGAACAGGAUUAGAUACCCCUGUAGUC
rnacentral:rRNA from 1 species